AGUGAACGCUGGCGGUAGGCCUAACACAUGCAAGUCGAACGGCAGCACAGUAAGAGCUUGCUCUUACGGGUGGCGAGUGGCGGACGGGAGAGGAAUACAUCGGAAUCUACUUUUUCGGGGGGGUUAACGUAGGGAAACUUACGCUAAUACAGCAGACGCCCUACGGGGGAAAGCAGGGGAUAUUCGGACCUUGCGCGGAUGAAUGAGCCGAUGUCGGAUUGGCUAGUUGGGGGGUUAAAGGCCCACCAAGGCGACGAUCCGUGGCCGGGCUGGGUGGAUGGUCAGCCACAUGGGAACGGAACCAGCGACAAUACGACUGAGGGAGGCAGCAGUCGGGAAUGUUAGACAAUGGGCGCAAGCCUUAUCCAGCCAUACCGCGUGGGUGAAGAAGGCCUUCGGGGUGUAAAGCCCUUUUGUUGGGAAAGAACAGCAGCAGGUUAAUACCCCGCUGUUCUGACGGUACCCAAAGAAUAAGCACCGGCUAACUUCGUG
rnacentral:rRNA from 1 species